rnacentral:lncRNA from 1 species
AUAAUUUUUUUUUUUUUUUUUUGAGAGAUAGGUAGCACGCUACCCGCUUUGUUUAUUUCAUUAAAAAAUAAAUUUAGUUAGAAAUAUGAAUCAAUUAGGAUUCGAACUUGGGUCUCGGGUAUCGACGACUAAGCCCUUUGCCACUUGCUCUAGAAACGGUCGGUACGCUGUGCAUAAUUAUACGGGUGAAUCAUAUGACUCACCAAAUUGUCUUAAUGACAGCUCGUUGAGAAGCUUUCCAGCAAAGUUGCGCUCCCCAAAGACAUCAUGUGGCCUCAAUUGAGAUCGUUAAACUUACUGUCUACCAUGUAAAAACACACGAAUCGCAAAGCAAUAUAAAUAGUACAUUAAAUAAUAAUCCUAAAAUGCAUGAAAACAGUUUUCGUGUGUAUAUAUAUAUAUAUAUAUAUAUAGAGUCCGUCUCCCGUACUUUCGAAAGUACGGGAGGCCCCGUGGUUGUAAGUUGUUUUCGAUGAUAGGACGUUCGAUUCGACGAUCGGCUCCGUUAGGAAUGAUCUACCCUAUUGGAACUAUCUAGAAACCAAAUUUUAGAUUUUUUUGGCAUCAUUUACUAAGCGAUCAAAAGGUCUAAAAAAAGACUAUUUUAACGGUAGAUGUGGCACAUUUUUAAGUUCAACGGUGUAGAAGUAUCCAAAUUACAUGAAAAUUUAAUAGAAAAUUCUACUUAACAUCAGUAGCAAGAUCAAUACUUCCGAUUUAAAAUUUGAAUCCUUUAUCACUGUUUUUUAUGAGAUUUUCAUUUUCAGCCGUUCAUUUUGAGGCUACUCGUUCACUAGACAAACGAAAUCAAAAAAUUAUGAAAUUUGGUUUCUAGAUAGUUCCAAUAGUGUAGAUCAAGUUUAACGGAACCGAUCGCCAAAUUGGAUGUCCCAUCAUUGAAAACAACUUACAAGCACGGGGCCUCCCGUACUUUCGAAAGCAUAGGAGCCUAGCUCUAUAUAUAUAUAUAUAUAUAUAUA